CUUUACAACACAGAUUAGAAAGCAUUUAUCUGAGAAAAAACAAUGGCUCAUAAGAUUAUCAACCCUCAGAUGUAUUUUUUAUAAAAGCUAUGACUAUAAACUGAUUGGUUUAGUAACAAUUAGCCUCUAUCAAGUUAAUUUGUACUAAGAAAAAUUUUUCAUUAAAGUAGAAGGGCCCAAUAUUACAGUUGUAGAAGCUGAAUU
rnacentral:lncRNA from 1 species